rnacentral:lncRNA from 1 species
UCUCUCUCUCUCUCUCUCUUCACUGAUCACUCUUUCUUCAAGAAGAUUCAGCCGUGAACUUGUUUGGAUUUACAGGAAUGGACGUUGUUGGAUCUAAUUCUGGUUAAUACUAGUAAUCUCCCUUUGCUGUCAUUUUCCUACUUCAUAAAUUUACUCUAGAAAGUUCAUAUAUUUAGUAGUCUCGGCUCGGGAAAUUUAAUUGCAAUGUCGAUUCAACUUGGGUUUUGUAUGUCAGUUGAACUAGAAAAUACAAAUUUUGUACUGUAGCUUAAUAGUUGUAAUCUAAUCUACCAGAUAUUGAUGGGAGCAAUCAGACUUUUGAUGUUUGUGCAGUUCAUCUACAUGUUAUGGAUACUUUUUUCAUUCAGUCAUCUAGUCCACCUCCACUUAUGGUGUGUCUAGUCUGCUACCUUACCCAAAUAGUACUAGUACUGAAAUAUUUACAACAUUUUCAUUUCCACAGAUUGUCAACUCAACCCCUUCUAGUUUUUAAGGAAAUGUAGUCAAAUUCAUUGUACAGAUGCAUCACUUUUGUGAUCCUUCUAGUCAAUCUCUGGUAUGAUGCUUGGAAUAUUGAUGAUUGGAAUGUUGAUUUGUACAGGAGUUUUGGCAUCUUGCUCAAGGAGCUACAGAAAUUAGGAUUAGUGGUGGGUUGUACGGCGAUUAGGAUUUUAAUGGUGGGUUUGAGUUGGAUUUUCAGGGCAAGCUGUUUUGAUUUUGUGUCUAUUGGCAUGGUUCAGGAUCCUAUUUUGAUCCAUCUAUUCUUGCCUACCUGCAAUUGUCUGGUUGAACAUGAUACUCUUUGUAGAGCUACAUUACAUUAUGUACCUUUGUUUUUCUCGUAAGUGCAUCCGUGUGGUCUCUGUUUUCUUGUAAGUUGGAUGUAUAUAAGUAACCAGUUGGCUAGUUUGUUGUAAUAGUUGCACAUGAACACAAACGUAGUUGGAUGACGCAUGUACAUAUCUCAGUUGGCUAGCCAACUUUUGAAGUUGCAUAGUGAGGCCUAACCAGCUGCACAAUCGAUGGUAU